AAAAGCUCCAUUCCUGCCUCUGAUGACACCUAUCCAGAAAUAGAAAAGUUUUUUCCUUUCAAUCCUCUAGACUUUGAGAGUUUUGACCUGCCUGAAGAGCACCAGAUCGCACAGCUCCCCUUGACUGGAGUGCCUCUCAUGGUCCUCGACGAGGAGAGAGGACUUGAAAAGCUGUUGCAGCUGGGCCCCCUUCACCUGUGAAGAUGCCACCUGCACCGUGGGAAUCUAAUCUGUUGCAGUCUCCCUCGAGCAUACUCUCUACCCUGGAUGUUGAAUUGCCACCUGUGUGUUAUGACCUAGAUACUUAAAUUUCUUAAUGUGUUAUAGCUUGUGUAUGUUGUAUUAAUAAAGAAUUCCUUUGUUUAGCA
rnacentral:lncRNA from 1 species